rnacentral:lncRNA from 1 species
GGAAGAUGGUUGAACUCUUGCAUAUUAUAACAUCCAAAAGAAGUCAACGCUUCACCUGGUUUGAUAUCAAUCUCACUUUCUUCACGGGUAAUUUGGAAUUGCGUGUUAAUUCCAAAGUUUCUUUAAUACAAACUAUUGGAACUACUGUUUUUAUUAAGACCAGAGACUAAGUUGGACAAUAUUUGGAAGUAAGGUAGUUGAUUGAAACCACAAAGCUCAAACCAGGAAGAAAAAAAAAGUAAAAAAAGAAAAAAGAAGAAGAGAAGAGCACGUUGGAUGAAACACACUCGCGAGAGGAGGAAGCCUGUCAAAAACCUCAACGAUGUUAACGUGAAUUUUGGAAGGAAAAAACAAAACCUCAUUUAAAGUUUGAUCAUGUGUUAAGUGGUUAUAUUGUUUGAGUGAUUUAAAUUUAACGAAAUGCGAGACCUAAAUGAUGAGCCUCAUGGUCCCAUAUUACAUAUAUGUUUUAUGCGUUAUCUAUUUUAAUAGAGGUGCUAGUU